UACGAAGGGGGCUAGCGUUGCUCGGAAUUACUGGGCGUAAAGGGCUCGUAGGCGGCCAACUAAGUCGGACGUGAAAUCCCCAGGCUCAACCUGGGAACUGCGUCCGAUACUGGAUGGCUUGAAUCCGGGAGAGGGAUGCAGAAUUCCAGGUGUAGCGGUGAAAUGCGUAGAUAUCUGGAGGAAUACCGGUGGCGAAGGCGGCAUCCUGGACCGGCAUUGACGCUGAGGAGCGAAAGCCAGGGAGCAAACGGG
rnacentral:rRNA from 1 species